rnacentral:ribozyme from 2 species
GCUGCUCGAAACUUUGCACAUCUCUUCGUGGUGAGCAGCAGACAACGUUGAUACAGCGGCUAAGAAUGCAAAG